rnacentral:lncRNA from 10 species
GAUUAAAGGCAUGAGCCACUGCGCUUGGUUACAAUUUUUUAUUUUAUUUUAUUUUGUAUUGUUUGUUUAUUUAUUUAUUUUUGAGAUGGAGUCUUUCUCUGUUGCCCAGGCUGGAGUGCAGUGACAUAAUCUCAGCUCACAGGAACCUCCGCCUCCCAGGUUCAAAUGAUUCUCCUGCCUCAGCCUCCCAAGUAGCUGGAAUUACGGGCGUCUGACACCACACUCAGGCUCAUCAAUGCACCGUGUGGCCAAACAGAACAGAAGCUUGUUUUUCAUUCACGCUACCUCCUCCUCUCAGAGCUGGCAGGAGUUCUUGUCCACAUUGUUAAGCGGGGUCAUUGAUGACUGAACUUCCCACAUUUUGUGACAGCAGCAUCUAGAAUAUGCAGCACUCUCCAUCAUCAUGAGAGAAAAAGAGAUUGGAGAAUCACCCAGAGCUCUUUAUUGCCUCAGCCAAAUAAGUGACACAUGUCAUGUCUCACGAUUCAUUGGCCAGAACUAGUCCCGUGGCCCUGUCUGACUGCAAGGGAGCUGGACAACGUGAAGGAGCAGGUGGAAUAUUGGAUAUUUAAAUACCACUGCUUUAGUACAGUGGUUAAGAGUAAAGUAUUUGAAGUUAUAAGGAGGUUGGUUCAAAAAAUAAUGACUUUGCAGACAGGCGCGGUGGCUCACGCCUGUAAUCCCAGCACUUUGGGAGGCUGAGGCAGGCAGAUCCCUUGAGGCCAGGAGUUCAAGACCAGCCUGGCCAACAUGGUGAAACCCCAUCUCUACUAUAAAAACCAAAAAAAAUUAAUCGGUUGUGGUGGCACAUGCCUAUAGUCCCAGCUACUCGGGAGGCUGAGUCAGGAGAAUCGUUUGAACCUGGGAGGCAGAGGUUGCAGUGAGCUGAGAUGGCGCCACUACACUCCAGCCU